rnacentral:rRNA from 1 species
UGGUGCCUUCGGGAACUCAGACACAGGUGCUGCAUGGCUGUCGUCAGCUCGUGUUGUGAGAUGUUGGGUUAAGUCCCGUAACGAGCGCAACCCUUGUCCUUAGUUACCAGCACUUCGGGUGGGCACUCUAAGGAGACUGCCGGUGACAAACCGGAGGAAGGUGGGGAUGACGUCAAGUCAUCAUGGCCCUUACGGCCAGGGCUACACACGUGCUACAAUGGUCGGUACAAAGGGUUGCCAAGCCGCGAGGUGGAGCUAAUCCCAUAAAACCGAUCGUAGUCCGGAUCGCAGUCUGCAACUCGACGCGUGAAGUCGGAAUCGCU